GUCGACUCAAACGUCUGUCGAACGAGGCGUCUGUCGAUUGCUUCGUUUAUAGCAGUUUGAGAUCAAGUAAACUCGUUCGAUCUGUUACAUGGGGACAAUGAGGCUGACUGCCAUUCUGCUCGUCUUUGCAAUCUUCGGAUUUUUGGUGUCAGAUGUCGUUGCUCGGCCGGGCAUUGAUGAUCAGCCACCUCCAUCGGCUUCAGAGGAAAGUCGCACGUAUAACGCCAACAGAGCAGAACAUGCGGAAGGCCGUCUUGCCAUAACAUGUGUGAACAAUGUCUGCACGGGAAGCGUGCGCAAGUAACCGACGCUGGAGAAGCCCGGUUCAAAGCUUCAAAACACCAGCG